rnacentral:rRNA from 1 species
AACGAACGCUGGCGGCAUGCCUAACACAUGCAAGUCGAACGAGACCUUCGGGUCUAGUGGCGCACGGGUGCGUAACGCGUGGGAACCUGCCCUUAGGUUCGGAAUAACUCCCCGAAAGGGGUGCUAAUACCGGAUAAUGUCCUCGGACCAAAGAUUUAUCGCCGUUGGAUGGGCCCGCGUUGGAUUAGCUAGUUGGUAGGGUAAAAGCCUACCAAGGCGACGAUACAUAGCUGGUCUGAGAGGAUGAGCAGCCACACUGGGACUGAGACACGGCCCAGACUCCUACGGGAGGCAGCAGUGGGGAAUAUUGGACAAUGGGCGAAAGCCUGAUCCAGCAAUGCCGCGUGAGUGAUGAAGGCCUUAGGGUUGUAAAGCUCUUUUACCCGGGAUGAUAAUGACAGUACCGGGAGAAUAAGCUCCGGCUAACUCCGUG